rnacentral:rRNA from 1 species
GGCGGCGUGCCUAAUACAUGCAAGUCGAACGAACGGAUGGGAGCUUGCUCCCUGAAGUUAGUGGCGGACGGGUGAGUAACACGUGGGUAACCUGCCUGUAAGAUUGGGAUAACUCCGGGAAACCGGAGCUAAUACCGGAUAACAUUUCGAACCGCAUGGUUCGGAAUUGAAAGGUGGCUUUUGCUACCACUUACAGAUGGACCCGCGGCGCAUUAGCUAGUUGGUGAGGUAACGGCUCACCAAGGCGACCAUGCGUAGCCGACCUGAGAGGGUGAUCGGCCACACUGGGACUGAGACACGGCCCAGACUCCUACGGGAGGCAGCAGUAGGGAAUCUUCCGCAAUGGACGAAAGUCUGACGGAGCAACGCCGCGUGAGCGAAGAAGGCCUUCGGGUCGUAAAGCUCUGUUGUUAGGGAAGAACAAGUACCGUUCAAAUAGGGCGGUACCUUGACGGUACCUAACCAGAAAGCCACGGCUAACUACGUGC